rnacentral:lncRNA from 1 species
UUUUACCCCAGAACGCCUCCAAGCUAGUCCAGAGUAGGUCUAAGCCAAGGGGUUCAAGAUUUUUGCCACCCUUUGACAUCAAAAUGUUUGUCCACAGCCCUGGAAAAAUGGGUAACUCGGCCACCAGGUGGCUGGGAAAUCUUUGCAGCUAUAGGGAAAUUUUGAUAUUUGGAGGAAAAUUAACAGCGUUGCCAGAAGGCAGAUGUACGAUAAUUAUUCUUAUUUGUAGUUUUGUACGAUAAUUUUGCCUUUAUGAUGUAGGAUGGGGGGUGCGAUGUCCGGACACUUAACAAAAAUUAAGCCUAGUUUUUCGUCUAAGGAUUAAGCCAAAAAUGUAUGUUGAAUACUUAUCACCAUCAAUAUUUGUUCUCCACAAUAUUUUCUGACAUUUUGUGCUGAAAAACUUCAAAGAUAAUUCCACUGAAAAAAUGGUUAAAUGUACGAUAAUUUCGCCAUUUUCGUAUUUUCAUCAUUUUCGUAUUUUCAUGACUUGUGCUGAAGAAAUUUAAGCUAUUUUAGCAUUUUAAAUCCCUCAUUCAUGCUCCAAAACUCGGCACUUGCGCUCGUCGUGCAAGUAGGCCUAUUCCAAUUUGCAUUUCCCACAGUUAAGGUUCUUCAGUUCACUCGAACAUGUAAAAAUUGUGUUACAUUUUGCACGCGCGCAUUUCUUCAUGUGGGUGCGUCAACGCGCGCGUAUUUCUGUACGUGCUGCGUGUAUUAAAAGUAUUGUAUGGUAGAUGUUCAUGAGUCCACGCGGGUCAUUAGUCCACGCGCCCUCGAAUACGCGCAUGCGACGCGAUAUAUGCCCUAAAUUUCUUGGACAGUCUAGAAAACAACAAGCCUAUUAGAGAUAUGACAGAAACUUUCAAGAAAAAUCAUUGGUUUCUUGUAUUUUUAUGAUUUAACUCAUAUACGACCAAAUUUAUUCAUUGUGAGAAAACUAGGGCUUCCCCUGACCUCAGACAGGUACCAGAAGAAAGAGCGAAAAUUGACCAAUCAGGAGAUACCUUUCAUAUUGCCGAAAAAAAAUCCCUCGCAAACUUAUUGAAUUUAGAAGUGCUCUUAUUGGAUAUUUCAUUCCAAGACCGUACGAGCCUGCCAAUUGUUUGUUUUGUUACCUAGCUACAAGAGUAGCGCGCUCUGCAAAAGGGGAAACCCCCAAGCUAUCGAUAGCGAUAUCGCGAUCAUGUUUUCCCCACGCAGCCAUUUUUCCCUGCCGCGUGCGAUUUGCAGAAAAAGUAACUGCACUUUUAGGUCUAUUUUGACAUGUUUUCCUCACAACAGUCGCGAUUGAAAUAUUUUGAAAGGAUUAAUUCAAAUUGUAUUUGUAAUCCCAGGAUAUACCUUCGUAUUUUUUGCUCUGUGAUAUUUUUUGGUAUUGACAAGUACAGCACCCCUGGUUAGAUCUAGCAUGCAGCAAUGGCUUUGUCAGUCAGAAAAAGUAUGAUUCAUCUGAUUCUGACCUAGAUUUCAAGCGAAAGAAGUGUCUCAGGCUGCCUGAUGAUGAAUCUGAUUCAGACAUUGGCAUGGAAAAGAAAAAGAAGCGUCUGAUGCAGUCAAAGAAAAAGAAGCGUCCGAUAGUGUCAGAUAGUGAUUGUGAUUCAGACAUUGAUUUGGAUGAAGAAAGAAAGAAAAAAAAGAAACAUCUGAUGCGGUCAGAUGAUGGUACUAAGCAAAAACGGCGAUGGUCACAAAAGGAGUUGGAGGUAUUUAGUAAGAACGUUGCAGUUUACAUUGAAAGAAAGGUCAUGGCUCCAAGGAUUGUUCUUGACAGGGUUGUUGAGCAACUGGCUCAUUCAAGGACUGUUGCUCAAAUAAGAUCAAGAGCAAACAAUAUGAUAAAGGAGAAACAAGUAUUUAUACUGUAGCUAGUCCAGUUUUGUUCAACACUACAAAACAAAACCCAGGUUGUUAGAGUGUUCUGGUCAAAAUACUAAGAAAAAUUUAAUUAAAUAAUUUUAAAGAGAUCAUUUAUUAUUUUAACUGAUGUCCAUAAGAACUUGUUUUUUCGCAAAUUUUCUCUAUUUUCGGCAAAAUUUUAGACAACUUUAGAAAAUUUUGGAAAAUGUGGGCCUUAAAAACGGGAAUUUGGCCAAAAGUAUACCCUUAAGAACUGAAUUUUUUUCAAAAUUAUCAAAAAGUAUAACCUUAGGAGCGAUUGGGAAGAUCUGGGAAGGACAAAAAAGACACCCAUUCGCGCCGAACAUACAUAUACCACCCAAUAUGUUGAGUACUUUGUGACCACAAGGGUAUAAUUAUUAUUGUAUGGUAUCAUAUUUUAUUACCACAUUUUUUUUUGACUAGAAGUUGUUUAGUCUAUAUACGACACCAUUUCAGGUUUUAAGCAGGUUUCACUGACAAAGUGUGUAAAAAAUCACAGCAGAGUAAUUAUAGCCAUGCUAUACAUCAAAAGUACGUUUUCUAGGGUAAAAAUGGAUGUAGAUUGUGAAUUUUUAGUCCAAAACCUUGUUUAUACAGCAUUUAGCCACAAAUCGUGGAUUUAUGGCCAAUUUUGCCCGAAAACGGCACUUUUUCAGUGACAAAAAAAUUUACUUCCUAUCUUUAAAUACCUGUAGGCUCAACAAUAUGCAUACAUAUGGCCAUUUUUAAUGUUUCUGUAUCAGCCCAGUAAACAGUCUGAUGGAUUCUUUUAUUUGUUUUGAAAUUGGUUUCAUACUUUUUGUGCAACAGCCAUUCAAAAAUGAUGCAUCCUGUGACAAUUGACUUUCAAAAUUUAGCAGUUUCGGACAAAAAAAUUGAUUUGAAAAAUCAUAUCUCUUCAGUCCAAGGGGCUACAUUAAUAAUUUACAUACCAAAAUAUGCAGAAUUUAAUAAGCUUUAAUUUGGUGCCUAAUUUAAUGUAUUUCUGGGAGGAGAAUGAUAUAAAAAUGAUAAAAAGUUAUUCCCACUCCCUAAUUUUUUAAUUUGUGUAAAAAAUAAAGAAAUUUACAAAACGGGCAAGUAUGCCAAAGUAUAGGACCUAUAGGCUUGAAAAUUUAAUCAGUUAUGCCCAUUAUAAGUCUCUACUUGGGCAUAGGAUAAAUUGUUUAAUAUUUCAACUAUUUCUUUCUAUUUAUAUUUUUUUAAAGAUUUUUGUCAUCCAAAAUUUAGACAAAAAUUUGCCAUUUUGAGGGCUCAUUAAAAAAAAUUACAAGGCCAAUAUGGUUGAAAAGUUAAUGAGUAAUUCCCAGAAAAUAUUACUACAAGGUAAAAUUCACAAAAUUGGCAAAAUGCUCAUAUUUCUUUUGAAUUAUUUUUUUUUACAAAGUUAGUGACAAUCCUCAGAAGGUAUUGUGCAAUCAUAAGCCAGUAUUGCGCAAUCGUUCAACCAAAAUGCUGUUUAGACACAUACUAGCUGUCAAUUUUGCAAAAGAACAUAAUUUAUAAUCUCAAAAAAGCAAUUAUGUUGAUUUUGAAGAGCCCUUACAAGCAAAAAAGACUGAUAUGUGAUAUUUUGGUUUUCUUUGCAUACAGCUUUAAGCACACCCAUAUUACAUAAUACCCGUAUCACAAAAAGGGUUCAAGAUUUUGCAUUUCCAACUUCAGAAAUUAAUUUUACACUAAAUUUCAGUCUAGAAAACAUAUUUAACAUCCUUUGUUUUGAAACUUUAUAUUUUUGGAUUUUUGUCAGUCAAACCUGCUUAAAAUCUGAAAGCGUGUCAUACAGUACAAUGUAGAGAACUCACAAACUUACACUUCAGUUUUAAUAAUCGAUUUCAAAUUUUAGAACACUGUUAGUCUG